GUUCAUGAGAUGCUGAAACUUUCUACUUCUUCUCACUACAACAGUGACGUCCUUUGUUGAAGGACUAAAGCUGUCUUAUAUAAUAAGAAGUUGCAAAGCAAUAUGGCUUAUGAUGUUGUCUCCUGCUGUGCAAUCUUCACAUCCAAAGAGGCACUAAGAAGCUGAACAUCUGGGACGCUCCAUUAUAGGAGUUAGUGCUCAGAGAAAAAGAG
rnacentral:lncRNA from 1 species